GAUGAACGCUAGCGGCAGGCCUAACACAUGCAAGUCGAGGGGUAACAUAGGAAAGCUUGCUUUUCUGAUGACGACCGGCGCACGGGUGCGUAACGCGUAUACAACCUACCUUUUAGCGGGGAAUAGCCCAGGGAAACUUGGAUUAAUGCCCCAUAGUAUGGAGAUCUCUCCUGAGAUUUUCAUUAAACAUUUAUGGCUAUUAGAUGGGUAUGCGUCCUAUUAGUUAGUUGGUAAGGUAACGGCUUACCAAGGCAGCGAUAGGUAGGGGUCCUGAGAGGGAGAUCCCCCACACUGGUACUGAGACACGGACCAGACUCCUACGGGAGGCAGCAGUGAGGAAUAUUGGACAAUGGGCGAGAGCCUGAUCCAGCCAUGCCGCGUGCAGGAAGACUGCCCUAUGGGUUGUAAACUGCUUUUACAGAGGAAGAACCACCCCCACGUGUGGGGGUUUGACGGUACUCUGCGAAUAAGGAUCGGCUAACUCCG
rnacentral:rRNA from 1 species